CGCAAGCCUGAACCAGCCAUGCCGCGUGCAGGAUGACGCAUCUAUGGUGUGUAAACUGCUUUUGUACAGGAAGAAACAGUGCUACGUGUAGCACCUUGACGGUACUGUAAGAAUAAGGAUCGGCUAACUCCGUGCCAGCAGCCGCGGUAAUACGGAGGAUCCAAGCGUUAUCCGGAAUCAUUGGGUUUAAAGGGUCCGUAGGCGGUUUUAUAAGUCAGUGGUGAAAUCCGGUAGCUCAACUAUCGAACGGCCAUUGAUACUGUAGAACUUGAAUUAUUGUGAAGUAACUAGAAUAUGUAGUGUAGCGGUGAAAUGCUUAGAUAUUACAUGGAAUACCCAUUGCGAAGGCAGGUUACUAACAAUAUAUUGACGCUGAUGGACGAAAGCGUGGGGAGCGAACAGGAUUAGAUACCCUGGUAGUCCACGCCGUAAACGAUGGAUACUAGCUGUUCGGCUUUCGGACUGAGUGGCUAAGCGAAAGUGAUAAGUAUCCCACCUGGGGAGUACGAACGCAAGUUUGAAACUCAAAGGAAUUGACGGGGGCCCGCACAAGCGGUGGAGCAUGUGGUUUAAUUCGAUGAUACGCGAGGAACCUUACCAGGGCUUAAAUGUAGGUUGACAGGCUUGGAAACAGGUUUUUCUUCGGACAACUUACAAGGUGCUGCAUGGUUGUCGUCAGCUCGCGCCGUGAGGUGUCAGGUUAAGUCCUAUAACGAGCGCAACCCCUGUCGUUAGUUGCCAGCGAGUCAUGUCGGGAACUCUAACGAGACUGCCAGUGCAAACUGAGAGGAAGGUGGGGAUGACGUCAAAUCAUCACGGCCCUUACGUCCUGGGCUACACACGUGCUACAAUGGCCGGUACAGAGAGCAGCCACUGGGUGACCAGGAGCGAAUCUAC
rnacentral:rRNA from 1 species